UGUUUUAAUUCGAUGCUAAGUGAAGAACCUCACUAGGGCUUGACUUGUGGCAUAUCCUCUUGAAAGAGAGGGGUAUCUUCAAUAAAGCGGACAUACAGGUGGUGCAUGGCUUUUGUCAGCUCAUGCCAUAAGGUGUUGGGUUAAAUUCUUCAACGAGUGCAAUCUUCACGUUUAGUUCUCAUUGUUGAGUUUGGAAUUCUCAUUAAGCACCACAUUAAUGAGAAUAUAGGCAAGAAGGGACGGUACCAAAAAGCCAUAUAAAAGCA
rnacentral:ncRNA from 1 species